rnacentral:rRNA from 1 species
UACGAAGGGGGCUAGCGUUGCUCGGAAUCACUGGGCGUAAAGCGCACGUAGGCGGAUUGCUAAGUCAGGGGUGAAAUCCUGGAGCUCAACUCCAGAACUGCCUUUGAUACUGGCGACCUUGAGUCCGGGAGAGGUGAGUGGAACUGCGAGUGUAGAGGUGAAAUUCGUAGAUAUUCGCAAGAACACCAGUGGCGAAGGCGGCUCACUGGCCCGGUACUGACGCUGAGGUGCGAAAGCGUGGGGAGCAAAGCAGG